rnacentral:rRNA from 1 species
AGCAUCUGGUUUGCCGUCGGCCUCUUUCCGGGAAGCGUGACUGCGCUUUAUUGUGUGGCGUGUUGCCUAGGGCAUUUACUUUGAGGAAAUUAGAGUGUUUCAAGCAGGCUCAUGCCGUGAAUAUGUUUUCAUGUAAUAAUGGAAAAGGCUUCUGCUUUAUUUUUAUGGGUUUCUAACUCUGAGGUGAUGUUUAAUAGGGACAGUUGGGGGCAUCCGUAUUCAACUGCCAGAGGUGAAAUUCUUGGAUUU